UUGCGGCCAUAUCAUGUUGAAAUACCGGUUCUCGUACGAUUACCGAAGUUAUGUAACGUCAAGUUUGGUCAGUAACUAGAUGGAUGACCACUUGGGAAUCCAGGUGCUAU